rnacentral:rRNA from 1 species
CGGCACGGGUGAGUAACACGUAUCCAACCUGCCGUCUACUCUUGGACAGCCUUCUGAAAGGAAGAUUAAUACAAGAUGGCAUCAUGAGUCCGCAUGUUCACAUGAUUAAAGGUAUUCCGGUAGACGAUGGGGAUGCGUUCCAUUAGAUAGUAGGCGGGGUAACGGCCCACCUAGUCUUCGAUGGAUAGGGGUUCUGAGAGGAAGGUCCCCCACAUUGAAACUGAGACACGGUCCAA